GCAGUCGACUUGCGCCAGCCCAGAGGCUGGGGAGGCGUCCGAGCCUCCGUCCCGCCUCGUCGUUGAAGAAGGUUAAGGACAAGCGCCAGCUCACCUGCGCUGGGGCAGGGAAGGGCAGAGUGGCCGAGCCCGGGAGGGCGCGACAGGGGCGAGGCGACCCCAGUCCAGAGGCUGACUUCCUCACCGCCCUGGGUCCCGUAAGUGGGAGCGCCGGUCCGGUGCAAGCUCACGGCCUAUCCGUGAAUCUCCUCGGCUUCAGCGGGGACCCAGGACCCCGCUCCCUACCCGCCCGACCCUCCGUGGCCCGCGGGGACGCUCAGCGCCCGGGCCGUGCGCGCGGAAAGAGCCGCACCGGAGGAGGCGCAGGCGGCCGGGUCCCUACCCCGGACCCGCGGGCGGCGCCCCCGCCCCCACCCCCACCCGCCCCGCGCCCCGGGAGCGCAGGCAGGCGGCGGUAGGGGGCGGGGAGCGGCCACGGUGGCCGCCGCCGGACCCCAGUCGCGCGGCCCUCGCGCCACGCCCCACCUCGGCCCGGACCCACCUGCGCUCCUGCCCCGGCCGCGGCCUGGCCCGGGGCUGCACCAGCCCGACGCAGUGGUGGCGGCAGCAGCGGUGGCGGGAGGCCUGGCUCACUCCCCACCGCUGAGUCGGACCGAGCACCCAGCGCGGCGCGGCGGCGCCCAACGCUCGCCCCGAAACCCAUUUGUUUGGCUAAAACGGAGUGACGUCACGCGCCGGCCCAAUCGACGGUUGGCCGGGGGAGGGGCCACGGAUCCAGAGUUUCACGGCGCCCCCUGCCGGACACUGGGGGCGGGAAGGGGGAAGUGAAAAGGGAGACCUGGAUGACGCGUCUGCGGCCCCCAAGUGGUAGAGAAUGAAAGUUUGAGCACGACUGUAGGGAAAGGAAUCAAACCUCCCAGGCCAGCCAAGAAGGAAUCCUGAUCUGGGCUACCCUAUCUGUGCUUCUGGUGAGGUGGGCCCAGAACCAUCGUGUGAAUAAUGAUUGACCUCAGCUAGUGGUUCUCAUGGAGUGAUUGAUUUUGCUUCCCAGAGGACAUCAGCAAUGUCUGGAGACAUUUCCAGUUGUCACUACUUGAGAGGAAGCGUGAUCGGCCUCUAGAAGGGAGAGACCAGGGAUGCCGCUGCUCAAUAUCCUAUAAUGCACAGAACAGCUUCUACGACAAAGAGUUAUUCCACCAAAAAUGUCAGUAGUGCCAAGGUUGAGAGAACCUGCUCUAGGGUAAUCAGUGUGGUCCCAAUCUCCCUGUCAGUAACUGAUUCAACUCACAUAAUAAUCUUAUGGGAGUGUGAUGUAAUUCUAGCC
rnacentral:lncRNA from 1 species